GCAUCAGAGCCAAGAAAGCAUGCGAACACCUCUUGUUGAAGCUAGAUAUGAGCACGGAAACUGCCAGCCGGCAUUCGUGGAAUCACACGCACGUCGUGGAUCGAGUCUGCAAAUUGACGCACCAGUAAUGUUCCCAGAUGUCCAGAAUCGUGACAGAACGUACUGCACCUUGACUCCUUCAAAGUAAGACUUUUCUGGAUGUUUGUCUGUCAUGUUCGUUUUAAUGAUAAGACACUCAUAUAGCUCCAUAUUCAAUAUCUCUUCGCUUGUAGCCAAAGCACGA